AGAUAAGAUAUGUCUCACAGAUUUGCAUGUUUCUAGCAUUGGGUGCCAGUCUUGGAUUAGAAUUAGAAUCACGUGGGAGCUUUAAAAAAUCCCGAUGCCAGGCCUACCCAGAGCAUUGAUCCAGAAUCUCUGGAGCGACCAAGGCCCCAUUGCUUUUCAGUGCUCCGCAGGUGAUGCCCGCUAAGGCAUAGGAUGGAGAUCCUGAGACCCUGGACUGCGUCCCAGACUACACUUCCCAGAGGCCCCUAUGGUCGCUUCCGUUUCCGGCCCUGCUCUCCGCAUUGGCUUAUUCAGGAUUCUUUGCCCUUGCCCGGGAGCACAGUUCAGGAGGCAGAUGGCCCCAAGACUACCAAGAGCCCAAAUCCAGGCAAGUUUGGUUUCAACUUUUCCUGAGAAGUCACCACCGUUUCAAAGUGAAGUUGUGUUUAUGCUUCUUGCCUGGAAGAUGCUCUGCCCUGUGUAUGGACCAAAUUAGGUUGCCUGAGUCAAUCCUGGAUUGGUGCAGCUUUGCAGAGAAAGGACCGUCUCCCCCACUGUUGUCCCUUCAUUUCCUCUCUACCCAUUACAGAGUGGUUCACUAAAUAGAUUUUUGUACCCAUGCUUUCUAGAGCACUAGAACCUGAAGAAUACUUUGUAGGUAAAGUAUAGCUGUUGCCUCAAAGGGGUUGCCCACUCACAGAAGAUGAAAAACAGACUUAUUUAUCAUGUAACUACAGAGGACGAAGUGUUAGUGAAUGAUACUACAUGACAAAGUGAUGGUAGUGCUUUUGAUGUUCAGGGGUCAGAGGAAUCUAAAGGGUGGGUGGUGGUGGUGGGGCUGGUGGUAAUCUUUUUAAUUCUUCCUGAAGAUUAAAUGAAGCUUGCAUAAUUGCGGAGGAUGGGGUGCCUAGGGGAAGGCUACAACAUGAAUGGAGCCAUUACAUCUGAACCAGGAACAAACUGGUCCCAGAGAAAUUUGGAAACAUUUGGAGUCUAGAAUGCCAGGCUGGAGUUUGCCUUUAUCCUAGAGAAAACUGGGUUUUGAAGGAUUUUGAGAAGUUGACAGGAAGUAAUUAGCAUUUUGACAGGAAGUAAUACGUAUUUGAAUAUUAUACAAAUUAAGAGUAACAGAAUAUUUAAAAAAUUAAAGGUUACCUCUAUUCCUAUCACACUAACAAGUCAAAUUAUUUCAUUUGAAACAGUUUUGCAUGUGUAUUUUUUAGGUUUACCCAUUUUUUUUUCCUUUUAAUAUGUCAUAGCCAUUUCUUCCAAUUUGCUCCAUAGUCUCAUUACCAUUUUUUAUAGCUCCUUUUUAUACUGUAGUCAACCAGCCCGGUGACUUUGAACAAGUUCUUUCAACUCUCUGAGCCUUACUAUCCUUAGCUAUAAAAUAGAUUUCCUUUAUGAAUAGUCGUGGUAGAAAUUCAGAGGUGAUGUAUAUCAUGGGGCUUAGCGCUACACCUGAUACAUAUUAAAUUGCUAUUGCUAUGAGAGGC
rnacentral:lncRNA from 1 species